rnacentral:rRNA from 1 species
UACGUAGGGGGCGAGCGUUGUCCGAAGUUACUGGGCGUAAAGCGCGCGUAGGCGGUCAUUUAAGUUCGGGGUGAAAGGUUCAGCGCUCAACGCGAACAGUGCCUUGAAUACUGGGUGACUUGAGUUCGGGAGAGGGCAGUGAAGUUCCUGGUGUAGCGGUGAAAUGCGUAGAUAUCAGGAGGAACACCGAUGCGAAGGCAGCUGCCUGGCCUAGAACUGACGCUGAGGUGCGAAAGGCGUGGGGAGCGAACGGG